GCCGAUCUAGGUGUUUUGCUCUUUGAAUCUCCAACAAUCCAUCAUCACUUUAGGUAUUGUACUCUUUGGAUCUCUCCUUUUAGGGAUUUUACUCAAAAAUUACUAUUUGUGUUUAUUGGUCAUUGUGCUUUAGAGAUCAAGAAUUUUUUUCACAGUGGGCAACGACAAAGAAUAGAUGUUUAAAGCUUGGUUUUAAAUUUAAUCCUGUUGCUGUGUUGUUCUCGCUGGUGGUGUUGCCUGACUGAUGCUUUGAUAUACAGCAACUGUGUUGUAGUUCCUUGUUUGCUGGUUUGGUCAUCGUUAUAUUUACACGACCAAAACACACCAUACACUUACAAAUUUUGUUAAAUGCAUUUCCUUGUAUGCUGACAAAGAAUUUUUGUUUUGUUUGUGUGUGGAUCUUGGGGAUGUGAAUGAGCUGGCCAAGAGAAACAAUUAAACGAAGGGAGUGUGUGUGAGAGAGAAAGAGAGAGAGGCUUUGGCUUUGGAUUUCGGGGUUGGGGUCGGGGUCGGGGUAGGGGUAGGGGCGUUCUGGUUCAUGGGAAAAUCCCUCUCAUGGCUUUGGAUGAAGGCAUCUCAUAGUACAGUUAACAUAGCAGGGUUCAUGAAUCAUGCGUCAAACAGUAAUGAUGGCAGAGACACAUGCAUAUUAAGUUUUUUAUUUUUAUUUCGGAUGGGAUGGUAAUAAGAUAAUAACUGAGGUGAUGAUGGCCCACCUUACUUUAAUUUCUUUUUCAUGUCGGGAUUCAUUUCAUCAGAUUUGACGCUUUGUUUUUAUUGUUUGUUUGUAUGAUAUACACUAUAUAAAAUUUAUUUUUUAUAUGAAAAUUUUUGAAUUAGCUCUAGGCUACUCCAAAUAAAAUUUUCUGUCCAAGGUCUUAUAAGGGUGAAAGUGAAACCUCAUUUGGACACAAAGGGACCUAGUCCUCAUAAUUUUGGAGUAUUUUAUCAUGGUUUUAAAAUUUUUAAUUUACAUCUCCUCAAAAUUUUUAUAAAUUCUAACCAUAGUUUUUUAAAAAAUUAUUUGAACACUCUCAUUUAGAUCUAGUCAUGGUCAGGCCAUCACUUGCACAGGUAUGAAGGUCUGUCUGAAAAGUAGGAAGGUUUAAAACAAAUAUAUGCUUAAAAAAUGAGAUUAGAAAAAAAAGUUUGUUUUCUAAACAGACUGAGCCUCGGGUAAGAUUUUUGCCUAGAGCUGGCUCGAAUUUGUUUAAAAAAAUUUUCAAUGUUAUUUUGCUACUAUUGCUACCACUUUUGUGUUGUUUUGUUGUCAUUUUACUAUUAUAUUGUUACUAUUUUGUUGUUAUUAUUUGAUUAUUAUAUACCACUUGUUUUAUUAUUAAUUUUGCUACUACUUUAGUGGUAUUUGUUUGCUAAAUUGCACUAUCUUAAUCUUAUUUAAGUAUUAAGAUUGUUUUAAUGUAUUUUCAAUUUGUUGGGAAAUAUUUAUUUUAAUGUUUUGAGUGCAUUUGAUAUAUUAUAUUUUUAAAUUUUUUUAUAUAAAAAAAUUAAUAUGAGUUGGGUUGCGCUCAAGUUUAACAUUUUUUAUCUAAUUCAGAUUUGGACAAAAUUUUAAACCUAUUAUUCUAAUUGAAUCCAAACCUAAAAUUCUAUAUUGACCAAACUCGGCUGAUAAUCAAGUCUACUCCCAUUAAUCUUUGAAAAAUUUUAAUUAAAUCCUCAGUUUUUUAAAAUUUAAAACGUUGAUAUAUCUUCUUGAAUUCCAAUGUCGCAGAUGCUUGCUUGAUAGGUUGUAGCUUUUGUGGGGGCUGAUCUCCGUUCUGCACACUUGCAGGUUAUCAUUAAAUUGAAUAAAAUGAACAUUUACUGCAAAACCUUAGCUUACAAUUCACAUACAAAGUAUCACUUUGAUUACACAUAUGAUUAUUUUAAACUUUUUUAAUUUUUAAAUUUGCAGUAUGUCAAGUGAUCGUCUGUGCAUGUAAAUUGGAUUUGAUGAGAAAGGAUACCUUCGUAGUGAGUUUAAAAAAGGAGUUGAAUACGUAGAUUUUGAAUUUUAAAACGUUAAUGUGUUGGUCAAAAUAAGAUUUAAGCGUGAAUUUGAAGGGCAGUGCGAGAUGCAUUUAACUUAUUUUUCAUCUUACGCUAUAAAAUCGUUAUAAUAUUUAAUUUCAUCAUUAUUAAUAUUUUUAUGCUAAUUGCAAGUAAAUUACCAUUUAUGAGGUGAAAAUUUAGCAAAUGUGAUAAUAGAAAGUUUAAACUCGAGAUGAUGUGAUUUAUCAAAAGGUUAUUGAUGUUACGUAUUUUGAAUUUAAUUAGAGUGCAGAACAGCCUUGUAAUGUUUCAAAGUUUUAGUUUUCAAUAUACCAUUGGAACGAGUUAGAUUCGGUUAAAAUUUUUAAAUAAAUUAUUUCAGGUAAUUUGGAACUCGUCUGAUAUUCGAGCCAAAGAGGAAUAGGUAAUUUUAAGUUUUGGAAAUUUUUCAAAUUUGUUUUCAUUAUUUUUAAGUUAUGGUUUAAUUGUUUUUAUUAAUGUAUAAUUAUUUUUGUUGAAUAUUGAUACACAAUCCGGUUAGUUAUGCAUUAAGUGUGUUAAGGGCAGGUUAUCUCUGUAGGCAAUUUCAGUAAUCAAAAAUUCUGAUAGUAGAACCUCCCUGUAGGAAAUACAAAAACAAGAGGAUGUUUCCUUUCCUUAGGAGAACCAAUACUUUUGCAAGCUUCAACUCCAACAAAUCUCUAGAGUCUAACCAAACCUCAAAUAGUAUUGUUAAUGAACAAGAACAUUAUGAAAAUAUUCCCCCAAAAUUUGAUAAUUGUACUCUUCAAAAGUUUCAACAAAUUAAAUUUAUAAGAAAAUAAUUUUUGAAACUUUAAAGGCAUUUUAUAGAUAUAUUAUAAAAACAAAAGAAAAAAAUUUACCUAUCGAAAAAGAACAUGAAACUAUCCAAUUAUUAGAUAGAUUCGUCAUUAAUAAGCAUCAUAUUGUCAAACAAUUUAUUUGGCUUCUUUAGGACAGUCUAGAACUAUAUAUGAAGGUUCUGUCGGGAACUAAUAAAGAAAAGGAAAAUAAUAAAUUUAAGCAAUAUUUAGUACUUAGAAGAAAAAUGAAGAAAUAAAAUUAACAGAAACAAUAGAUAUAGAGAAGGAUCUAGAAAACUUUAAGUCAGCUAGUCAUAAACAUUUUAGCGGGCAAAUUACAUAUAAAAUCCCAUUUUAAUAAAAAUUUACCGAAAUGGGCCCAGUAAAUAAUUAUUUACCGAAAUGGCCCUAUUUCCCCGAAAGUGCGUCCACGUCAGCAUGAUGUCAGGGGACGUAGCAGGAAAACGUGUCCCUGAGGAAGCGUUUUGCCUACAUGGACAGAAAUCGCUCCCUCAAGGGUGCGCUUUAAGUCCAAGUAGGCAAAACACUUCCUCAAGGACGCGUUUUGCCCGUGUCUCCUGCGAUUAGGGUUUUGGGUUAUUAGUUUAAGGCUAGGGUUAGGGUUUUGGUGUUUUUAAGUUUAGGAUAUUAGAGAAAAUUUAAUAAAUAAGAGUUUAGAUUUUGUCAAUUAAAUUAAUUAUAAAUUUUUCAAAAUUGGAUUAGCUUUCGUGUUUAUUUUUUAAGAAAAAAUAAAUUAAAUUAAGGUUUAGGGUUACUUGAGUAAUUUAAUUAAAAAAAUUUUAAAAAUUAGAUUAGGGUUUAGAGUUAAGGGUUUUUAAGGAAAAUCAAAUAAAUUAGGGUUCAGCAUUACUUGAGUAAUUUAAUUAUAAUUUUUUAUAAAACUAGAUUAGGGUUUAGGGUUUAAGGUUUUUAAGUAAAAAUUCAAAUAAAUUUGGGUUUGGGGUUGAGGGUUACUUAAUUAAAUUAUUUGUUAAUUUAAAGAAGCUCCCACGUGGACGCACUUUUGCUACAGUAGCUGUUGAAAAAAUAAUUUUGAGUAGACGUUUUUGAGCAAAUAGUGUCAAAACGCUUUAAGUAGGAUGCUUUGUCAGCAGAAGUACUAAAAAAAGCUCCCACGUGGACAUGCUUUUGCUACUGUAGCUCCUAAAAAAUAAUUUUGAGUAGACGUUUCUAAGCAAAUAGAAUAAAAAACGCUUUAAGCAGGAUGUUUUGUCAGCAGAAGUACUGAAAGAAGCUCCCACGUAGACGCGUUUUUGCUACAGUAGCUCCUGAAAAAUAAUUUUGAGUAGACGUUUCUGAGCAAAUAGAAUCAAAAACGCUUUAAGCAGGAUGUUUUGUCAGCAGAAGUACUGAAAGAAGCUCUCACGUGGACGCGCUUUUGCUACAGUAGCUCCUGAAAAAAUAAUUUCGAUUAAAUGUUUCCGAGCAAAUAGUGUCAAAAACGCUUUAAGAAGGAUGCUUUGUCAGUAGAAGUUUUGAAAUAACCUCCCACGUGGACGCGCUUUUGCUACAGUAGCGCAUGUUUGGCCUGAGGCUAUAAAUGAUGCAAAUUUUUUUCUCAGAUUGCAUAAGUUACAACAAAAAAAUUGAGAGAGGCUAAGAAUGAUAGAAAUUGAAGAUGAGUAAACGUAUUAGUGCUGUUAUUUACUAUAAUGGUGAGGUUUGUCACACCGAGAAUGGUGUUAUUUUUUAUCAAAGAAUACAGUGCGACUGGUUUUUAACUAGAACAUAGAUUGGACAGAACUUCGUAAAAGAAUUAGGCGUAAAAUAUUUGGAACGACGCCAAUGAAAGUUCUGUCUAUUACGUAUCGAUUUUGUUCUUCUGUUGAUCCGGUGACAUAUGACUCGUUCGACAUAAAAAGUGCUUAUAGCUUGGAGGCAAUGGCUCGCUAGAGGAGCACCCUAUAUUGAAUUAUAUGUACAAUUUACAUCACCAAAUGAUGCACUUGCAACUAGUGUUCGAGAGGUAUACGCGACCCCUGCCCGACAAUCGGUUAGUGUGUUACAAAAUACGGAAUAACCCAUGUUUGGUAGCGGUGUGGAAUAUACAACCCCUGCAUGACACUUUGUCACUGGAUGGGACAUGUACCUCGGUGGGUCGAUGUUUGAUGCUGGAAAUACGUACUGAGGAACGACAUCAACUUCUAGUGAUUGGCAAUCUACAUCCAAUUGGGGACGUUAUGAAAUGCCUAGAAAAAGGGAUGAUGUACUCCCUACGACGUUUACCGGGGAGGGGACCUCGUACGUUGUAGAUGAUGGUGGGUUAGAAGAUGACUUCGAUGUGGAUACACCUCGAGAGCCCGGGCCCGAUGGUGCAGAAGUUGCAUUAUUCUCUAAAUCGGAGCCUAUUCCAACCGAAUCUAAAAAUGUUGAAGGGGGUUCAGCUGAAGAAGAAGAUCUACGAUUCAGGGCAUACUCACCUCCAGCCCACAUGUAUAAUGUCGAUCUGUCUGCAGAUGAUGCGUUAGAGUUUCUAAAUCUACCACACCAGUUGCGUGAUCGUAUAAGUUCGGUACAAGAUUUGGGUGAAUUUGAAAUUGGUAAUCAGUUUUCCAACAAGGAUAGUUUUAUUGGUACUUUGAAACAACAUAACAUCAAUAACGGUGUUAACUACCACGUCGUUAAGUCCAAAGUUGAUAAGUUUAAGGCGAAGUGUGCAGUGCAAGACAGUACAUGUUUAUGGAAAAUCUACGCCUUGUUGAGGAAAAGGAUAGGGUUGUGGGAGAUUAAAAAGUACAAAGGUCCACAUACAUGUGUUGCAGGUAUAAUAUUUAGGGUCUCUGAAUAAUAUUGUUAUUAUGUAAUGUUGCAUUAUUUAAUGAACUCCGUUUAUAGGUAUUUCACAAGAUCCUCCCAAGAUGGAUUCAGCUAUGUUAGCUAGCUUGAUACUACCGACGGUGAAAGUAGAUCCUAAGACUUUAAUGCCGGUCUUAAUUACCAAUAUUCGUAGCCAAAUAGGGUACACGCCCUCUUACUGCAAGGCUUGGAUAGCUAAGCAGAAGGCGUUGGAGAAGAUGCAUAAUGGGUAGGACGCUUCAUAUAAUGACAUAUGGCAGUGGUGUUAAGUGCUAGAGAGAUACGUCCCAGGUUGCAUAAUAGACCUUCAAACGGAACAUGCGUACUACAACGAUCGAUUGCUGCAUGGAUGCCAAGUGUUCAAACACCUGUUUUGGACAUUUAAGCAAUUCCAAGACGCAUUUCCAUACUGCAAGCCAUUGGUACAAAUUGACGGUACCUUUAUGUUUGGUAGAUAUACCCAUCGGCUAUUGGUAGCAGUGGCACAGGGUGACAGUGGGAGAAUUCUUCCACUUGCAUUUGCAAUAACACCGGGGGAGUCAGCUGAUGACUGGGAUUUCUUUCUAUCUAAGUUAAGAAGGCAUGUGUACCCCUAACCUGAUAUAUGUGUUAUUUCAAAUUGAGGCACCGACAUACUAGCUGCAAUUUAUCGACAGGGAAGCUUAUGGCAGCGCACACACCAUCAGUAUUGCCUAAGGCACGUUGCUUCCAAUUACUACAGGAAAUAUCCAUCUAAGAGUGAACGACGGCAAGUGACCAACAUGGGUAUUUAGUCUCUAUUAAUAUAAUUUUGUUUGUCAUUUUAGAUUUAUUCUAAUUGAAAGAGUGGUAUGUAAUAUUGCCUAUGAACUUAUAUUGGCAGGGUAUAAAAUAAAUAAAGAUCGUUUUCAUGAGAUGUUGGCAGUUUUGCGUUCAAUUAACGGCGAAGGCGCGGACUACAUUUGUAACAUACCUUUCGAACAGUGGGCACAAGCAUACGACGGUAACCUACGAUAUGGUCAUAUGACAUCAAACCUGACUGAAUGCAUAAAUUCUAUUCUAAAAUGAACGUGCCAUCUACCAAUAACAUCGGUUGUGCGAGAGACAUAUUUUCGUUUGGCGGCGUUAUUUCCAAAGCGAGUAGCAAGUUAUGCAGGCCAGAUAAAGAGAGGCCAUGUAUGAUGCAAUAAGGUAGUGCAAGAAAUUAACAAGGCCAAGGCGCGACGGAACACCAUGCACACAGUGUGUCACGAUCGAGACAACUUAUGGUUUCGCGUGACAGAGUUUGACAGACCGCACCAAGGUAUUUUUGGCAGGCAAUAUCGUGUACACUUGCGAAAUAGGACUUGCGGUUGUAGGAUGUUUGACGCACUUCGAUAUCCAUGCUCUCAUGUAAUUGUAGCUUUUCAGAAUCUCCAUCUGGAUCCUAUGAAUUAUGUCGAUGAAGUGUACAAAUAAGAAAAUAUGUACAACGUUUGGAGACACAUAUUUCCACCGGUCCUAGAUGAACAUAAGUGGCCAUUUGUAUCACUUGCUCCCUUUAAGCUGUUACCGGAUAGAGAAUUGCGUCGCAAACCAAAUGGAUGACCUUACUCAACUAGAAUACGUAACAAUAUGGAUAUCCGAGAAACAACCAGUCAACAGAAGUUGUAAGAAUGGUGUAGGAACCCAGGCCAUACAAGCCGAUCAUGCCCAAAUCGCAAUAGUUGAACGUUAUUGUAAAAACUUUGUAUUAUUUAUAUUUUUUUAAAUCAAAAAUUGGUACAAAUAUUCAGAAUAUUUAAAAGAAAAUCUAUUUUAUUAAAAAUAUUAAAGUAAAUUACAAUUACUUUAUUCAAAAUAACGUUUUAUUUUAUUAAAUGAAAUAAUAUAGAAAUAUUCAACAUAUUGCCGUAUUUAAAAGAAUUUAUAUUAUAUUAAAAAUGUAUAAGUAAAUUUCUAUUUUAGUACAUGAAAUAAUAUAGAAGUAUUUCUAUUUUAUUACAUCAAAUAAUAUCAAAGUAAUCAAAAUGUUUGUACAAAUAAAAAUCAAUCUCCGUGCCCGCCAGAUUCAGUGCCACAUGGCGGUCAUCGACGAUUACGCGUUGGAUUCCUCCUUUGUCCAGCUUCAGGCGGGGGUUGUGGUUGCUCCAGUGGGGAUUCUAGUUCCUCCGAUAGGGGAUCUAGUUGUCGAUGUUGGGACGAUGAGCCACAUUGAUAGAAUAGUGACUGUGGAAGUGUUUGCAUCACCAAUGACGAAGCUGUUUGAAACCCUUACAAUAAUGGGGUUUGCUAAAAAGAAGAGCUUCCCGACGGCUUCCCUUGUGAUCCUUCGUACGAUGCUGGCCUAUACAUCGGUGGUCCACUCAGCGUAAUCGAAAAUAGAGAUGAACCGGGUCAUUGACUCCAACCUGUCAUAGGGCUAGAAAAAGGAAACAUAUAAGGGUUAGGAUACAUAAAAGGGUUAGGAUACGCACCUGGCAUCAUCUGAAAAGGUUGUGCCGUGGGUAUCGUCGGUUGAAUUGCUGGGUCUGGUGACUGUGUCGGUGUUGUUGCUGGGCCUGGUAAGUGUAUGGGCGAUGAUGAUAGGCAGGGUAAAUGUCUGGGCCUCAUUGAUGGGCUUGCAUCGUCGUCCCUUCUUCUUAGAUUUAAAGGGCCAUGUCGUUCUCUUUGGACACGUAAUUGCCACUGCCUCUAACUCUGGAACGAUGGCAUGUAUUCUGGCACACACGCUAACUCUAGAUCCUAAACCAUGGCAUGUAUUGUGGCACGCACGCUAACUCUGGAACGAUGAUCGGUUCCCGAGUUGGUAUAUAAUCAUACCAAUAUUUUCUCAUUUGGAUAUAGUAUGACCAGAAUCUCGACCAAUCCAUAUGCAGUUGCCGUAGGUCGAUUUUGUGAUGAUUAUCCAACACCUCAGGUGCCACGGGAAUCGGUUGUCGAAAUCUAAAUUGCCGUAAUACUCUGUCCGAAUGGUACAUCUCCACAGUCGCAAAGUUAACCAAUGGGACUUUCACAUGCCAAGUAUUUGGAUUUUGGAAGUACUCAUCCAAAAUUACUGCCCGAAUUGCCGGAUCCUUGUAUGGUACCCAUUGAAACUGUAUGACCAUGAUGGAAAUAUUAGUUAUAUACUAAAUACUAAAUACCAAUCGGCUAUCUCAUGAUGGAAAUAUCUAUUUUAUUUAAUACUUGUGCUUCCGACCGUUAGUCUAAUUGAAGCCGUAUAUCUUCAAAAGAGGUAGGUAAUAGAGCAUAACUUGCAAGAUGGUUCCACCUAAUUAAAUAAUUUUUUAGCAUUCGAUUAUAUUUUAAAUCUACUUAAUAAUUGUAAAAUCUAAUAUAAAAUUUACCUUGUUUUGAGUAGGAAUGUAUACGGGUGAUCCACUUGAGGACGUAAAAAUGGAAAGCAAAAUCGUGCCCAUGACUACAGUAGUGACAGGCAACCUCUGAUUUUCUCAUUAUUCGGUUGCGUCGCCCUGCACAUCUCCCGGUACAAUGUUGCCAACACGGCAGACCCCCAACUAAUUCACCAGCUGCUCGAAAAUCAACGAGUUUUAGUAGCCAUCUUAGAUGUACGAGGUUCCGUGACAAGUCCGGCAUCAGAUAACCUCCAAUUAUCUAAAGAUUGUAUGCGCGAGCAUAUCGGAUUCUUUCUAGUUCGGUUGUAUCAUUAUCCGGAUACGGGAAUGUGUCUAGUAACCUGCUCAUCACGAUUUGACCUCCGUUAAUAUUCUUAGAAUAGUGCCCAAAAGCUCGUAGCAUACAACUCCCCAAUCAUCAAAUUGAAUAGACCUAGUGACUGCGUACCCGUCCACCAGCAAUUCCAAUUGCAAAUUGGCAUUUUCUAAAGUGAUAGUGCACUCUCCACAUAAAAGAUGGAACGUAUGCAUCUCGGGUCUCCACCUCUCGACCAACGCACUAAUAAGUUUCAGAUCCAACUUGCAUCCCCGGCCUACUAUCGCCACGUGCAAAAAACCCACCGUCUGUAGGUAGUUCUCUACCAACGGUGAUGGAGGACCAUGCAUAUUACGAAUAUAGCAUUGCAAUAUCCGAUCUACUGACUUUUAUAGCUUGUAUGGCCUGGGUUCCUACACCAUUCGCACAACUUCUAUUGACUGGCUGUUUCUCGGAUAUCUAUAUUGUUACAUAUUCUAAUCGAGGAAAGUUGACCCUUUGGUUUGCGACGCAAUUCUCUAUCCGGUAACAGCUUAAAGGGAACAAGCGAUACAGAUGGCCACUUACAUUCAUCUAGGACCGGUGGGAAUACAUCUCUCCAGACGUACAUGUUUUUUAAUUUCUACACUUCGUCGACAUAGCUCAUCAGAUCUAGACGGAGAUUCUAACAAGCUACAAUUACAUGAGCGCAUGGAUAACGAAGUGCGUCAAACAUCCCACAGUCACAAGUCUUAUUUCGCAAGUGUACACGAUAUUGCCCGCCAAUAACACCUUGGUGCAGUCUGUCAAACUCUGUCACGCGAAACCUUAAGUUGUCUCGAUUGUGACACUGUGUGCAUGGUGUUCGCCCGCGCUUUGGCCUUGUUAAUUUCUUGUACUACCUUACUGCAUCAUACAUGGCCUCACUGCAUCUGGCCUGCAUAACUCGCUGCUCGCUUUGGAAAUAGCGCCGCCAAACGAAAAUAUGUCUCGCACAAUCGAUGUUAUCGAUAGAUGGAGCGUUCCUUUUAGAAUAGAAUUUAUGCAUUCAGCCAGGUUUGAGGUCAUAUGACUAUAUCGUAGGCCGCCGUUGUAUGCUUGUGCUUACUGUUCGAAAGGUAUGCUACAAAGGUAGUCCGCGCCUUCGCCGUUAACUGAAUGCAAAACUGCCAACAUCUCAUGAAAAUGAUCUUUAUUUAUUUCAUACCCUGCCAAUAUAAGUUCAUAGCCAAUAUUACAUACCACUCUUUCAAUUAGAAUAAAUUUAAAAUGACAAACGAAAUUAUAUUAAUAGAGACUAAAUACCCAUGUUGGUCACUUGUCAUUGUUCACUCUUAGAUGGAUAUUGCCUAUAGUAAUUGAAAGCAACGUGCCUUAGGCAAUACCGAUGGUGUGUGCGCUGCCAUAAGCUUCCUUGUCAAUCAAUUACAGCUAAUAUGCCGGUGCCCCCAUCUGAAAUAACACAUAUAUCAGGUUGAGGGUACACAUGCCUCCUUAACAUAGAUAGAAAGAAAUCCCAGUUAUCAGCUGACUCCCCCGCUGUUAUUGCAAAUGUAAGUGGAAGAAUUCUCCUACUACCAUCCUGUGCCACUGCUACCAAUAGCCGAUGGGUAUAUCUACCAAACAUAAGGGUACAGUCAAUUUGUACCAAUGGCUUGCAGUAUGGAAAUACGUCUCGGAAUUGCUUAAAGGUCCAAAACAGGCGUUUGAACACUUGACAUCCACGUAGCAAUCUGUCGUUGUAGUACGCAUGUUCCGUUUGAAGGUCUGUUAUGCAACUUAGGACGUAUCUCUCUAGCACUUGACACCACUGCCAUAUUUCAUUAUAUGAAGCGUCCCACCCACUAUGCAUCUUCUCCAAUGCCUUCUGCUUAGCUAUCCAAGCCUUGCAGUAAGAGGGCGUGUACCCUAUUUGGCUACAAAUAUUGGUAAUUAAGAAUGACACUGAAGUCCUGUGAUCUGCCUUCACCGUGGGUAAUAUCAAGCUAGCUAACAUAGCUGAAUCCAUCUUGAGAUGAUCUUGUAAAACACCUAUAAAUGGAGUACAUUAAAUAAUACAACAUUACAUAAUAAUAAUAUUAUUCAGAAACCUUAAAUAUUGUACCUGCAGCACAUGUAUGUGGAUCUUUGUACUUUUUAAUCUCCCAUAACCCUGUCAUUUCCUUCAACGAGGCAUAGAUUUUCCCUGAACAUGUAUCGUCUUGCACUGCACACUUUGCCUCAAACUUAUCAGCUUUGGACUUAACGACGUGGUAGUUAACGCCGUUAUUGAUGCUAUGUUGUUUCAAAGCACCAAUAAAACUAUCCUUGUUGGAAAACUGAUUACCAACUUCAAAUUCACCCAAAUCCAGUACAAACUUGUACGAUCACGCAAUCGGUGUGGUAGAUCUGGAAACUCCAACGCAUCAUCUGCAGUCAGAUUGACAUUAUGCAUGUGGGCUGGAGGUAAGUAUGUCCUGAAUCGUGGAUCUUCUUUUUCAUCUGAACCCCCUUCAACAUCUUCAGGUUUAGUUGGAAUUGGCUCCGGUUCAGAAAAUAAUGCAACUUCUGCACCAUCGGGCUUGAGCACUCAUGGUGGAUCCACAUCGAAGUCAUCUUCUAACCCACCAUCAUCUGCAACGUAUGAGGUCCCUCACCAGUAGACGUCGUAAGGAGUAUAGCAUCCCUUCUUCUGGGCAUUCCACAACGUCCCCAAUUGGAUGUAGAUUGCCAACCACUAGAAGUUGAUGUCGUUCCCCAGUACAUAUUUCCAACAUCCAACAUCGACCCACCAAGGUGCAUGUCCCAUCCAUCGACAGAGUGUUGCGUAGGGUUUGUGUAUUCCACACCGCUACCAAACAUGGGUUUUUCCGUGUUUUGUAACCCACUAACUGAGUGUCGGGCAGGGGUUGCAUAUACCUCUCGAACACCAGUCGCAAGUGCAUCAUUUGGCGAUGUAAAUUGUACAUAUAACUUAAUAUAGGGUACUCCACUAGCGAGAUGAGUCUGCACCAUUGCCUCCAAGCUACGAGCACAUUUUAUGUUGAACGAGUCAUAUGUCACUGGAUCAAUAGAAGAACAAAAUCAAUAUGUAAUAGACAGAACUUUCAUUGGCGUCGUUUCGAAAAUUUUACGCCUAAUUCAUUUACGAUGUUCUGUUAAAUCUAUGUUCUGGUUGAAAACGUGUCGCAUUGUAUUCUUUGAUAAAAAAUAACACCGUUCUCGGUGUGGCAAACCUCACCAUCAUAGUAAAUAACAGCACUAAUAUGUUCACCCAUUUUCAAUUUCUAUCAUUCUUAGCCUUUCUCAAUUUUUGUUGUUGUAACUUAUGCAAUCUGAGAAAAAAAUUUGCAUCAUUUAUAGCCUCAGGCCAAACAUGCACUACUGUAGAAAAAGUGUGUCCACGUGGGAGCUUCUUUCAAUACUUCUACUGACAAAGCAUCCAGCUUAAAACAUUUUUGACACUAUUUACUCAGAAAUGUCUACUCAAAAUUAUUUUUUUAGGAGCUACUGUAGCAAAAACGCAUCUACGUGGGAGCUUCUUUUAGUACUUCUGCUGACAAAGCAUCCUGCUUAAAGCAUUUUUGACACUAUUUGCUCAGAAAUGUCUACUCAAAAUUAUUUUUUCAGGAGCUACUAUAGCAAAAGCACAUCCACGUGGGAGCUUCUUUUAGUACUUCUGCUAACAAAGCAUCCUGCUUAAAGCAUUUUUGACACUAUUUUCUCAAAAAUGUAUACUCGAAAUUAUUUUUUCUGGAGCUACUGUAGCAAAAGCGUGUCCAUGUGGGAGCUUCUUUUAGUACUUCUACUGACAAAGCAUCCUGCUUAAAGCGUUUUUGACACUAUUUGCUCAGAAACGUCUACUCAAAAUUAUUUUUUCAGGAGCUACUGCAGCAAAGGCGCGUCCACGUGGGAGCUUCUUUUAGUGCUUCUCCUGACAAAGCAUCCUGCUUAAAGCGUUUUUGACACUAUUUGCUUAGAAACAUCUAGUCGAAAUUAAUUUUUUAGGAGCUACUGUAGCAAAAGUGCAUCCUUGUGGGAGCUUCUUUAAAUUAACAAAUAAUUUAAUUACGUAACCCUAAACCCCAAACCCUAAUUUAUUUGAGUUUUUAUUUAAAAACCCUAAACACUAAAUCCUAAUCUAAUUUUUUAAAAAUUUAUAAUUAAUUUACUCAAGUAACCCUAAACCCUAAUUUAUUUGAUUUUUCCAUAAAACCUUUAACUCUAAACCCUAAUUUUUUUUUAAAUUUAAUUAAAUUACUCAAGUAACCCUAAACCCUAAUUUUGAAAAAUUUAUAAUUAAUUUAAUUGACAAACCCUAAACCCUAAUCCCUUAUUUAUUUAAUUUUUUCUUUAAAACCCUAAACUUAAAAAAUACCAAAAUCCUAACCCUAACCCUAAACCAAUAACCCAAAACCCUAAUCAUAGGAGACACGGGCAAAACGCGUCCUUGAGGAAGCGUUUUGCCUACUUGGAAAUAAAGCGCGCCCUUGAGGGAGCGAUUUUUGUCCAUGUAGGCAAAACUCUUCCUCAGGGAUGCGUUGUCUUGCGACGUCUCCUGAUAUCGCACUGAUGUGGACGCGUUUUCGGGGAAAUAAGGCCAUUCCAGUAAAUAAUUAAUUAUCGGGCCCAUUUCGGUAAAUUUUUAACAAAAUGGGCUUUUAUAUGUAAUUUACCCAAAGGGUUUAGUUGUGAAAAAAAAUGAAAGGGGGUUUUAUAGUUUUUUUUACCGUUGGGGGCGUCACCAACUAUCAAAAAAGUAACCGUUGCUACUAAUCACGCGUGGGCAAAAUGCGUCCCCAAGGGAGUGCUUACGUGGCAGGAAAACGUGUCCUUGAGGGAGCGAUUUCUGUCCACGUAGGCAAAACGCUUCCUUAGGGACGCGUUUUCCUGCCACGUCCCUUGACAUCGCAUUGACGUGGACGCGCUUUCGGGGAAUUGGGCUAUUCUGGUAAAUAAUUAUUUAUCGGGCCCAUUUUGGUAAAUUUUAAAAAAGGGCUUUUAUAUUUAAUUUGCCCCAUUUUAGCUCACAUAUUCUAUAUAAAAAGGGAAGAUUUUAGAAAUAAACUCAACUUAUACAAAAAAAAAAUUGGCAAAAACCCUAUAAAUGUGGCUAUUUUACUAAACUGGUCCAAAAAUUUUAAUAUUUACAAAAAUAACCCAGGUUUAAAAACAACCACUAAAAUAACCUAAAAUGAACAGUAAAAAGGGGUUUUGACUUAUCAAUAGCCGGCACCACCUGGUAUUCUGGACCCAUGAUUGCCUGAUGAUUGUGUCAAACUUUAAAAAAUUAAUUUUUUUGGUUCUAACUUAUCAAUGAUUGACACCAAUGUAUUUUUUUUAAAUUGUAUCAUAUUGGUAUACAAAAAAUAAUAAAAACAAAAAAAAAAUUGGUGUUGGCUUGUUAAUGGCCAGCACUAGGCACCAGUAGACGAAAAAAUAAUUUUUUUGGGUGCUAGCCUGUCAAUGGACAGCACCAAGCACCAGUAAACGAAAAAAAAAUUUAGGUGCUGGUCAAUCAAUGGCUGGCACCAGUAUUCGAAAAAAAUUUGGGUGCUGGCCUGUCAAUCACCGCCACCACCAGUACGAAAAAAAAUUUUGGGUGUUGGCCAAUCAAUGGUCGGCACCACCAGUUAAAAAAAAUUGUGCUGGCAUGUUAAUGGUCGGCACCACUAGUACGAAAAUUUUUUUUCUUGGGUGUUGGCCAAUUAAUGGCCGAUCCCACCAGUACGAAAAAAAAUUUUGGGAGCUUGCCAGUCAAUGGCCAGCACCACCAGUACGAAAAAAAAAAUUUAGGUGCUGGCUUAUCUAUUGUUGGCACCACCGAAACAAAAAAAUAAUUGUUUUUGGGUGCAGACCAGUCAAUGGCCGGCACCGGUAUACGAAAAAAGUUUUAGGUGCUUGCCUAUCAAUGGCCGGCACCACCAGUACGAAAAUAAAUUUUAGGUUCUAGCCUUUUAAUGGCUGGCACGACCAGUACAAAAAAAUUUUUGUGCUGGCUUGUCAAUGGCCGACACCAAAAAUACGAAAAAAAAAUUUGGUGCUGGCCUGUUAAUGACUGGCACCAGUAUACGAAAAAAAUUUAGGUGCUGGCCUUCUGAUUGUCGGCAUCAAACUUUAUAUAUAGUGGGUGGUUUGAGUUUUGAUAGUGUAAAUAGAAUGAGAAAAAAAAUUGAAAGAGCCAUCAAAAUGAGAGUGUUUUGUAGUAUAUCAUCAAAUGAGUUUCUUUGGAGUGGAUUAUAUAUGGAGUUUUUCGUAGUGUAUAACCGAAUUUUGGGGUUGAAUUAUAUAUUGUCAUAUUUUAAUGGAGUUGAAUUAUAUACUGUCAUGUCCGCCUAAAGGUUAUGCCAUUAAGGGUUGGAAGAUUAUUUGCACUAUAGAUGGCUAAUCGAGUUGUCCAAUGCAGAUGGACAUUAGCUAUGGUGCAAUAGUGUUUAUUCCGCAACUAGGUUGUGGUUGGAACCGGUUGAUAAAGUCUCCAUGCAAAGGUAUCUCAUGGGAUAAUGGAAGAAGAAAAGGUCUAGUAUUACUUAUUUUAAUUAUUAUUUUUUAAAUACUACGAAGUUAUUAAUUCAAACAAAUAAUUAUUUUAGAGAAAUUAAAUUGUUAAAAAAUAAAAAAAUUUAAAAAUAAAAUAAAUAUUUAUAGAAUAAUUUUUAAAUAAAGUAAAAAUUAACAGAAAAAUUAAAUUGUCGCGAUCCGGGGGACAUCCCCGGCGCUGGCGUGUAACGGUCCGGAUGCCUCCGUUGGUGAUGCCAUGCACCUUGUUGAGGCGUUUGAUAAUUGCUUGGUUUGGCGUCCGGUGUCCUGUCCGGUGUACAUAGAAAGGUAGAAUAAUCAUAUACACUAUAAUCGGGAGUUAAUUGGUAUUGCGUAACCGGAGGUGCCGAUGGAAAAAUAUCCUCAGUGGUUGGUAUACGUGCUUCGGGAUGGAACUUCAGGUGGUAUGAGGAUGAUCCGGAUCAUGUCGAAUGUUGAGGCUCGAGGUCAUCACCAAAAAUAUCUUCGAACGAUAGAGGAAUUUCAUGCAGCGGAUCCGGAUCCAUGUUGUGUGAUGAUAAGCAGGAUGCUUCAUAUUGGGCCUUGAGAUCGGGGUUCGAGGUAGUAUCGAACUCGAUGUUCCCUAAUGGCAGAACUCAGUUACUGUGCGGUUGUGUGUUCCUUGGUUGCCAUCGAGAAGAUUCAGGUUGCGCGUAUCUUUGGAUCAGCAUGUACUGGCCUUGGAAUAUAAAGGGUUUCCCGUGUGCCAUAUACCAUGCUGCGUACUCAGGCGUAGGAGAGAACCCUCCCUCUAAGACAUACAAGGGAGGGCGCCUCGAAUAUCGUUGAUUCCACAGAAAGAUAUACGGUUCAUGUUUUUACGCCCAAUUUAAAGUGUCCCGACCCGAACCCUUUUUAUCCAUUCCGUGAAAUUCCUUGAUGUCGACGGGAGGGUUCGGGAUAGGUUGUGCUCAACUGAACUGCCUCAAAAGCUGACCUCCAUCGUGCCACUCCACCAUAUGGAAAUGAAUCAACAGCACAUUUGACACGAACAACUGUUGCUGCUCGAUAGCCCAUGAUGGUAUGAGCCUCGCAAUAUCUUCCUCAUUAUAUGGCAUCCAUAUAAACAACAAACUAAAGACAACACGUUUUUUUUCUUGUGCAAUUAUUGUAUUUAAAAAAAAUUCGGAAUUAUAUUUUACGCCAUCCCCAGAAUGAGCCUCUAUCAUUAUACUAUACAUAGAUACGGUGAACGAUUGCCUGAUUCCCGGUACAGCUGCCCAUCUAAAACAAGAAAAAUUAUCAAAUUAUUUUCCCAUAAAAAAUAAGUAUAUUAUAGUAUAAAAUAAAAAAAUAGAUGGAAAAUUUGAACUACAUAUUUACCUAUUAACGAGUGGUCAGACAUACGGUUGGUGGCUCAUUGAUGCCAGAAAUGGCAUUCGGUAUAAUGCCCAAGACUGCAGUAGAAGGUAGCAACCGCCCAUUAUUUUCGUAGACGGUUUUGUCGCUCGACAAAGCUCGCGGUAUAAGUAUGGCAACACUCCAGAGCCCUAACUAAAUCUUCCGGCAAACUCAAGAUCCUCUAAUAAGGGGAGAUACAUUAUUGAGACUUUAUUUUGAUUAAUGUCCGGCAAAAGUAUCCCAGCUAUAAGUUGAAGAAUGAACGCUCUUGCAGCGUAGAUAAUGUCCAUCUGCGUUGGACUACUCGGAAUAUGCUGGAAGCUUUAUUUUAACCAAGUAAAUUUAAUAUAUGUUAAUCAUCCUUCCUCAUUGUUCGGGGGCACCCUUCCAAGUAACCGCUCGCAAGUGCCGCACGGAUCGGACAACUUUCCAAGCUCGGUCAUUGCUUCGCCGUUUAUAGACAGCCCUAGUUGGAUUGCUACGUCUUGCGGUGUAAUAUUUACCUCUCCACAUGAGAGGUGGAACGUAUGUGUCUCCGGGCACCAUCUUUCAACUAAUGCCGAUAUUAAAUCAGUCGUAGCUCAAAUAUCUUAAUGUACGUGGCUACCCCAAAACCCGCGACAUUCAAAUACGGUAUAACUUUUCGAUCGGGAAAAUAACAGGGGUCAUACAACUGGGGUCUCACAAUUCUGUACAAAUUCUGCAUUUAUAGUAAAUAUAUAAUGUUAUAUUUCUCGUUUUAAAAAUAAUUUAAAAGAAUAUUUAUAAUUAAAUAAGACAUUUUAUUUCUCGUUUACCUUAUGCACAUUGCUUGUAAUGUGAUCGUUGUCAUUUAAAAGAACAUUCAGAUUAGGAUCCAUGGAGUUAUUGGCAAUUGUCGGCGGUGGUUGAAGGUGAACAACAACGGUCGUUGGAGGUGGUUGAGGGUGAACCGCGGUGGCCGUCGGAGUUGCCUAUUUAUAUUGGGGGGACCAUUUGGCUGAAGGGCAAAAUUGGAAAAAAAAAUGGCCAAAAGAAAAAAAAGUGUAAGGUCGGCCACUGGAAGGCCAAAUGGGCCAGUGACACAGGCCUAACGUAAAUGGGUCAUUUCAACCCUUUUUUUUAUUCAAAAUUUAUUUUAAUUUCAUUACUUUUUAUUUUAGUUUCAUUUAAAUUUUCCUAAUAUCAGGGUAAUUUAAUUUUUUCAUCUAUUUUUAAAAUUUUUAUAUUUUAUUUGUCAAUUUAAAUUUUAAAGUUUUCUAAAAAAAGCUAAUUUCAUUUUUUGGGGGUUUUUUAGGCCUGACACCCCAUUUAGAUAAAUUAAAUUAGUUAAAAUAAAUCUAAUUUCAUUUUUUCAUUUAAUAUUUUAUUUAAAUAUUUUCAUUUAUUUAUUAUUUUUGUCAAUUUAAAUUUUAAAUUUGUUAAAAAUUUAUUUUUUCGUAUACUGGUGCAGCCAUUGACUGACCAGCACCCAAAAUUUUUUUUUUCUUAUUGGUGAUGCUGGCCAUUGACAGGCUAGCACCCAAAAAAAAAUUUUUUUUUGACAACGACUACAUUGCAGGCAAUAUGCAUAAGGUAAACGAGAAAUAAAAUGUCUUAUUUAAUUUUAAAUAUUCUUUUAAAUUAUUUUUAAAACAAGAAAUAUAGCAUUAUAUAUUUACUAUAAAUGCAGGAUUUUUACAGAAUUGUGAGGCCUCGAUUGCAUGAUCCCGGUUAUUUUCCCGAAUGUCACGGGUUUUAGGGUAGCUACGUACAUUAAGAUACCUGAGCUACGGGUUGAUUUAAUAUUGGCAUUAUUUGAAAGAUGGCGCCCGGAGACACAUACGUUCCACCUCCCAUGUGGGGAGGUAAAUAUUACACUGUAAGACAUAGCAAUCCAACUAGGGCUAUCUAUAAACGGCGAAGCAGUGACCGGGCUUGGAAAAGCGCCCGAUCCGUGGGACACUUGCGAGCGGUUACUUGGAAGGGUGCCCCCGAACAACGAGGAAGGACGACUAACAUAUAUUAAAUUUACUUGGUUAAAAGAAAACUUCCAACAUAUUCCAAGCAGUCCAACGCAGAUGGACAUUAUCUACGCUGCAAGAGGGUUCAUUCUUCAACUUAUAGGUGGGAUACUUUUGCCGGACGUCAAUCAAAAUAAAGUCUCAAUAAUGUAUCUCCCCUUAUUAGAGGAUCUCGGGCUUGCCGGAAGAUUUAGUUGUGGUUCAGCAGUGUUGGCAUGCUUAUACCGCGAGCUUUGUCGAGUGACAAAGCCGUCUACGAAAACAGUGGGGAGUUGCUGCCUUCUACUGCAGUCUUAGGCAUUAUACCGAAUGUCAUUUCUGGCAUCAAUGAGCCACCAACCGUAUGUUUGGCCACUCGUUAAUAGAUAAAUAUGUAGUUCAAUUUUGCCAUCUAUUUUUUUAUUGUAUAAUAUAAUAUACUUAUUUUUUUCAAGGGAAAAAUAAUUUGAUAAAUUUUCUUUUUUUAGAUGGGCAAUUGUACCGGGAAUCGGGCGAUCGUUCAUCAUACCUGUGUAUCGUAUGAUGAUAUAGACUCAUUCUGAGGAUGGCGUAAAAUACGAUUCCGAAUAUUUCUUUUUUAAAUACAAUAAUUGCACAAGAAAAAAAUAACAUGUUGUCUUUAUUUUGCAGUUUAUAUGGAUGCCAUAUAAUGAGGAAGAUAUCACGGCGCUCAUACCAUCAUGGGUUAUCGAGCAGCAACAGCUAUUCGUGUCAAAUGUGCCGAUGAUUCAUUUCCAUAUGGUAGAGUGGCACGAUAGAGGUCGGGUUUUGAGGUAGUUCAGUUGCGCACAACCUAUCCUGAACCAUCCUGUCGACAUCAAAGAAGUCCACAGAAUGGAUAAAAAGGGUUCGGGUUGGGAUGCUUUAAAUUGGGCACAAAAACAUGAACCGUAUAUCUUUCUAUGGAAUCAGCAACACUCGAGGCGCCCUCCCUUGUAUGUCUUAGAUGGAGGGUUCUCUCUUACACCUAAGUAUGCAACAUGGUAUAUGACACACGGGAAACCCUUUAUAUUCCAAAGUCAGUACAUGCUAAUCCAAAGAGACGCACAACCUGAAUCUUCUCGAUGGCAACUAAGGAACGCACAACCGCGCAGUAAUCGAGUUUCACCAUUCAGGAACAUCGAGUCUGAUACUACCUUAAACCCCAAUCUCGAGGCCCAAUAUGAAGCAUCCUACUCAUCAUCACACAACAUGGAUCCGGAUCUGCUGCAUGAAAUUCCUCCAUCGUUCGAAGAUAUUUUUGGUGACAACCUCGAGCCUCAAUAUUUGACACGAUCUAGAUCAUCUUCACACCACCCGGAGUUCCAUCCUGAAGCACUUACACCCACCACUGAGGAUAUUUUUCCAUUGGCACCUCCGGUCAUGCAAUACCAAUUAACUCCCAAUUAUAGUGUAUAUGAUUAUUCUACCUUUUUAAGUACAUCGGACAGGACACCAAAUGCCGAACCGAGCAAUUAUCAAACGCCUCGACAAGGUGCACGGCAUCAUCGACGGAGGCAUCCGGACCGUUACAUGCCAGAGUCGGGGAUGUCCCCGGGAUCGCGACAAUUUUAAUUUUUUCUGUUAAUUUUUACUUUAUUUUAAAAUUAUUCUAUAAAUAUUUCUUUUAUUUUUAAAAUUUUAUAUUUUUUAAUAUUAAUUUAGUUUCUCAAAAAUAAUUAUUUGUUUGAAUAAAUGACUUUGUAAUAUUUAAAAAAUAAUAAUUCAAAUAAGUAAUACUAGACAUUUUCUUCUUCCAUUGUCCUAUGAGAUACCUUUGCAUAGAGACUCUAUCAACCAGUUCCAACCACAACCUAGUUGCAGAAUAAACACUAUUGCCCAAAAAUUUGAUAAUUGUACUCUUACAAAAGUUUCAACAAAUCAAAUUUAUAAGAAAAUAAUUUUUGAAACUUUAAAGGCCUUUUAUAGAUAUGUUAUAAAAACAAAAGAAAAAAGGUUUACCUAUCAAAAAAGAAACAUGAAACUAUCCAAUUAUUAGAUAGAUUCGUCAUUAAUAAACAUACAUAGUAUCAAACAAUUUAUUUGGCUUCUUUAGGACAGUCUAGAACUAUAUGAAGGUUCUGUCGUCUCUGGAACUAAUAAAGAAAAGGAAAAUAAUAUAUUUAAGCGGUAUUUAGGGGAAAUUUACCAAAAAAAGCCAAUUUUUUUAAAAUUACCAAAAUGGGCCCGGUAUUUUAUUACUUACUGGAAUGGGCUCUUUUCCCCGAAAUCGAGUCCACGUCAGUGCGAUGUCAAGGGACAUGCCAGCAAAUCGAGCCCACGUCAGCGUGCUUUGCUGACGUGGUCGCGAUUUGCCCAUUUUUCCCAUGAUAGGUUUUUAGGGUUUAGGGUUUAGGGUUUUGGAUAAAAAAAGUAAACAAAUAAGUCGCGCCCACGUGUACGCGCUUUUGCUACAGUAGGUCCUGGAAAAAUAAUUUUGAGUUGACGUUUCUGAGCAAAUAGUAUAAAAUCGCUUCUAGCAGGAUGCUAUUUGGUAAGAAUUUGUAAAAUCGUGCCCUCGUGGACGCGCUUUUGCUACUGUAGGUCCUGGAAGAAAUAAUUUUGAGUUGACAUUUCUGAGCGAAUAGUAUGAAAAAUGCUUAGAGCAGGAUGCUUUAUGAGAAGAAUUUGUGAAAUCGCGACCUCGUGGACGCGCUUUUGCUACAGUAGGUCUUGGAAGAAAUAAUUUUGAGUUGACGUUUCUAAGCAAAUAGUAUAAAAUCACUUCUAGUAGGAUGCUAUUAGAUAAGAAUUUGUGAAAUCGUGCCCUCGUGGACGCGAUUUUGUUACAGUAGCAUGUCUGGGCUGAGGCUAUAAAUGAGGCAGAAAAAUGUUCUCAGAAUGCAUAAGUCAUAGCAGAAACAAUUUAGAGAGGCUAAGAAGGUUAGAGUUUCAAAUAUGAGUGAACGUAUUAGUGCUGUUAUUUAUUAUGAUGGUGAAGUUGCCACACCGAGAAUGGUAUUGUUUUUUUGUCCGAGAAUACGGUGCGACUGGUUUUUAACCAGAACAUAGAUUUGACAGAACUUCGUAAAAGAAUUAAGAGCAAAAUUUUCAGAACGACGCCAAUAAAAUUUCUAUCUAUUACGUAUCGAUUCUGUUCUUCUGUUGGUCCGGUGACAUAUAACUCGUUCGACAUAAAAGGUGCUCGUGGCUUGGAGGUAAUGGUGCAGACUCAUCUUGCUAGUGAAGCACCUUAUAUUGAGUUAUAUGUACAAUUUACAUCACCAAAUGUUGUACUUGCGACCGGUGUUUGAGAUGUAUACACGACCCCUGGUCGACAUUCGGUUAACGGGUUACAAAACACGGAACAGCCCAUGUUCAGUAGCGGUGUUGAAUGCAUAUCCCCACAAGACACUCUGUCGGUGGAUAGGACAUGUACGUCAAUGGCUCGAUGUUUGAUGCUAAAAAUACGUAUUAGGGAACGGCAUCAAGUUCUAGUGGUUGGCAAUCUACAUUCAAUUGGGGACGUUAUAAAAUGCCUAAAAGAAGGGAUGAUGUACUCCCUAUGACGUCAAGCGGUGAGGGAGCCUCUUAUGCUGCAGAUGAUUGUGGGUUAGAAGAUGACUCCGAUGUGGAUCCACCUCAAGAGCCCGGGCCUGAUAGUGCAGAAGUUGGCUUAUUUUCUGAACCGAAGCCUAUUCCAACAGAGCCUGAAGAUGCUGAAAGGAGUUCAGAUAAAGAAGAAAAUCCACGAUUCAGAGCAUACUUACCUCCAGCCCACAUGCAUAAUGUCGAUUUGUCUGCAGAUGAUGCGUUAUAGUUUCCAGAUCUACUACACCGGUUGCGUGAUCGUACAAGUUCAGGGUUAGAUUUAAGUGAAUUUGGAUUUGGUAAUUAGUUUACCAACAAGGAUAGUUUUAUUGGUGCUUUGAAACAACAUAGCAUAAAAGCGGUGUUAAGUACCACGUCGUUAAAUCCAAAUCUGAUAAGUUUGAGGUGAAGUGUGCGGUGCAAGACGGCACAUGUUCAUGGAUCCACAUACAUGUGCUGCAGGUACAAUAUUGACGGUAUCUGAAUAAUACUUUUAUUAUGUAAUGUUGUAUUAUUUAAUGUACUCCGUUUAUAGGUGUUUCACAAGAUCAUCCCAAGAUGGAUUCAGCUAUGUUAGCUAGCUUGAUAUUGCCCACGGUAAAAGCAAAUCCCAAAACUUCAGUGCCGGUGUUAAUUGCCAAUAUCCGUAGCCAAAUGGGGUACACGCCCUCAUACCGCAAGGCUUGGAUAGCUAAGCAAAAGACGUUGGAGAAGAUGCAUAGUGGGUGGGACGCAUCAUAUAAUGAAAUAUGGCAGUGGUGUCAAGUGCUAGAGAGAUACGUCCUAGGUGCCAUCACAGACCUUGAAACGGAACAUGCGUACUACAACGGCCGAUUGCUACGUGGAUGCCAAGUGUUCAAACGCCUGUUUUGGACCUUUAAGCAAUGCCGAGACGCAUUUUCAUACUGCAAGCCAUUGGUACAAAUUGACGGUACCUUUAUGUUUGGUAGGUAUACUCAUCGGCUAUUGCUUGCAGUGGCACAUGAUGGCAGUGGGAGAAUUCUUUCAAUUGCAUUUGCAAUAACACCUGGGGAGUCGUCUGAUGACUGAGAUUUCUUUCUCUCUAGGUUAAGGAGGAAUGUGUGCCCCCAACCUGAUUUCUGUGUUAUUUCAGAUUGAGGCACCGGUAUACUAGCUACAUUUGAUUGACAGGGAAGCUUAUGGCAGCGCACACACCAUUGAUAUUGCCUAAGACACGUUGCUUCCAACUGCUACAAGCAAUAUCCAUCUAAGAGCGAACGAUGACAAGUGACCAACAUGUGUAUUUAGUUUAUAUCUGUGUUAUUUCGUUUGUCAAUUUCAAUUAGUUUUAUUGUUAGAAGUGGUAUGUAAUAUUCGCUAUGAACUUAUAUUGGUAGGGUAUGAAAUAAAUAAAGACCGUUUUCACGAGAUGUUGGCAAUUUUAUGUUCAAUUAACGGAGAAUGGGCAGACUACCUUUGUAACGUACGUUUCGAACAAUGGGUAUAACCAUACGACGACGGCCUACGAUAUGGCCAUAUGACGUCACACUUGGCUGAAUGCAUAAAUUCUGUUCUUAAAGUAACUCGCCAUCUACUGAUAACAUCGGUUGUGCGAGAGACAUAUUUUCAUGUGGCGGCGCUAUUUCCAAAGCGAGCAGCAAGUUAUGCAGGCAAGAUGUAGGGAGGCCAUGUAUGGUGCAGUAAGGUAGUUCAAGAAAUUAAUAAGGCCAAGGCGUGGGCAAACACCAUGCACACAGUGUGUCACGAUCGAGACAAGUUAUGGUUUCGCGUGACAGAGUUUGACAGACCGCACCAAAGUGUUGUUGGCGGGCAAUAUCAUGUGCACUUGUGAAAGAGAACUUAUGACUGUGGAAUGUUUGAUGCGCUUCGUUAUCCAUGCGCUCAUGUUAUUGCAGCUUGUCAAAAUCUCCGUCUGGAUCUGAUGAGCUAUGUGGAUGAAGUGUACAAAUUUGAAAACAUGUACAACGUCUGGAGACACGUUUUCCGACCGGUCCCAGAUGAACGUAAGUGGUCGCCCGUAUCUCUUGCUCCUUUUAAGCUGUUACCGGAUAGAGAAUUACGUCGCAAACCAAAGGGUCGACCUUGCUCGACUAGAAUACGUAACAAUAUGGAUAUCCGAGAAAUAGCUAGUCAACAGAAGUUGUGCAGAUGGUGUAGGAAUCCAGGCCAUACAAGUCGAUCAUGCCCUAAUCGCAAUAGUUGAAUGUAAUUGUAAAAAAAUUAUAGUUGUAAAAUUAUUAAUUGAUAAAUUGUAUUAAUGGUUAGUAAAAUUAUCAAAUUAUAUCAAAUUAUUAAUUGUUAGUACCAGUCAAACAAUUUUUCCAAAUCUAUCAUUAUGUGAAUGUAAAAUUAUUAACUGAUAAUUGUAUUAAUGGUUAGUAAACUUAUCAAAUUAUUUUAAAGUUAAGGGUUAGGGUUUUUAAGUUAAGGGUUUAAGGUUUUUAAGUUAAGUGUUUAGGGUUUUUAAGUUAAGGGUUAUGGUUUUUAAGUUAAGGGUUUAGGGUUUUAAGUUAAGGGUUAGGGUUUUUAAGUUAAGGGUUAGUGUUUUUAAUUAAGGGUUAGGAUUUUAAAUUUAAGGGUUAGGGUUUUUAAGUUAAGGGUUUAGGGUUUUUAAGUUAAGGGUUAGGGUUUUUAAGUUAAGGGUUUAGGGUUUUUAAGUUAAGGGUUAGGGUUUUAAAUUUAAAGGUUAGGGUUUUUAAGUUAAGGGUUUAGGGUUUUUUAGGUUAAGGUUUAUGGUUUUUAAGUUAAGGGUUAGGGUUUUAAAUUUAAGGGUUAGGGUUUUUAAGUUAAUGGUUUAGGGUUUUUAAGUUAAGGGUUUGGGGUUUUUAAGUUAAGGGUUUAUGGUUUUUAAGUUAAGGGUUUUUAAGUUAAGGGUUAGGAUUUUUAAUUUAAGGGUUUAUGGUUUUUAAGUUAAGGGUUAGUGUUUUAAAUUUAAGGGUUUAGGGUUUUUAAGUUAAGAGUUUAGGGUUUUUAAGUUAAGGGUUUAAGGUUUUUAAGUUAAGGUUUAAGGUUAGGGUUUUUAAGUUAAGGGUUUAAGGUUUGUUAAUUAAAUUAUGCAUUUAAUUAUAAAUUAUAAAUUUAUAAAUUUAUAAUAAAUUAGUUUAGGGUUUUUAAGUAAUAACUCAAAAAAUUUCUAUUUUAUUACAUGAAAUAAUAUCAAAAUAUUCAAAAUAUUUGUACAAAUAAAUUUAAUUAAAAAAAUCAAUGUCUGUGCCCGCCGGAUUCAGUGCCACAUGGCGAUCGUCGACGGUUACGCGCUGGAUUCCUCCUUCGUCCAGCUUUCGGUGGCAGUUGUGGUUUUUCCGUUGGGGAUUCUGGUUCUUCCGGUAGGGCAUACGGUUUUCGGAGUUGGGACGAUGAGCCACCUUGAUAGAAUUGUGAAUCUGAAGGAGUUUGCAUCACCAACAGCGACGGUGUUUGAAACCCAUACGGUGGUGAGGAUUGGUAAAAGGAAGAGCUCCCCAAUGGCCCCUCUUGCGAUCCCUCGUGCGUCGCUGGCCUAUACAUCGGCGGUCUACUCGACGUAACAAGAAAUGGAGCUGAACCGGGCCAUUGGCUCCAACCUGCCAUAGGACUCGGAAAAGGAAACAUAUACGGUUUAGGAUACAUAAAAGAGCUAGGAAACGCACCUGGCAUCAUCUGAAAAGGCGGUUGCGUGGGUAUCAUCGGUUGAACUGCUAAAUCAGGUGACUGUGUUUGUGCUCUCGUUGGGCCUGGUGGUUCUAUGGGCGCUGAUGAUGGGCUGGGUGAAUUUUUGGGCAUAGUUGAUGGGUCUACGUCGGCGUCCCUUCUUGGAUUUAAAGAGCCACGUCGUUCCCUUUAGACACGUAAUUGCCGCUGGCUCUCCUCUGGUGAUAGUAAAUACGGCUUGUCAUGGAUCCUAAACCAUGGCAUGUAUUCCGGCACGCACGCUAACUCCGGAACGAUGAUCGGUUCCCUAGUAGGUAUAUAUGCAUACCGGUCUUCCUACAUUCGGAUGUACUCGGACCAGAAUCUCGGGCAAUCUGUAUUCAAUUGCCGAAGGUCGAUUUUGUGGUGAUCGUCAAACACCUCAGGUUCUACGGGAAUCGGUUGUUUACAUCCAAAUUACCGUAACACCCUGUCUGACUGGUGCAUCUCCACGGUCGCGUAGUUGAUCAACGCGACUUUCACAUGCCAAGCAUUUGGAUUUUGCAAGAACUCAUGUGGAAUUACUGCCCGAAUUGCCGGAUCCUUGUAUGGUGUCCAUUAAAACUAUAUGAACAUGAUAGAAAUAUUAGUUAUAUACAUAAUACUAAAUACUAAAUACCAAUCGACUAGCAAAUGAUGAAAAUAUCAAUUUUAUUUAAUACUUACAUGUGCUUCCGACUGUUGGUCUAAUAGAAGCCGUAUAUCUUCAAGAGAGGUAGGUAAUCGAGCAUGACUUGUCGAAUGGUUCCACCUAAUUAAAUAAAUUUUUAGCAUACUUUUAUUUUUUAAAAAUCUACAUAAUAAUUGUAAAAUCUAAUAUAAAAUUUACCUCGUUAUGAGUGGGAAUGUAUAUGGGUGGUCCAUUCGAGGACGUAGAAAUGGAAAGCGAAACCGUGCCCAUGACUGCAGUAGUGACAAGCAACCUCCGAUUUUUGCUUUUGUCAAUCGCGUCUCCCCGCACAUCUCCCGAUAUAACGUUGCCAAGACGGCAGACCCCCAACUCAAUUCACCAUCUGCUCUAAAAUCAAUGAGUUUCAGCAUCCAUCUUAGAUGUAUGCGGCUCCGUGACAAGUCGGGCAUCAGAUAACCUCCAAUUAACUGAAGAAUGUAUGCUCAACUUGUCAGUUAACUAAAGAAUGUAUGCCCGACUUGUCAGAUAACCUCCAUGACAAGUCGGGCAUCAGAUAACCUCAAAAUUCUAUAGAUCAGGCAUACAUUCUUCAGUUAAUUGGAGGUUAUCUGAUGCCCGACUUGUCACGGAACCGCGUACAUCUAAGAUGGCUGUUGAGACUCAUUGAUUUUAGAGCAGUUGGUAAAUUGAGUUGGGGGUCUGCCGUCUUAGCAACGUUAUAUUGGGAGAUGUGUGGGGCGACGCGACCGACAAAAGCAAAAAUUGGAGGUUGCUUGUCACUAUUGCAGUCAUGUGUCACUAUUGCAGUCAUGGGCACGAUUUCACUUUCCAUUUCUACGUCCUCGAGUGGACCACCCAUAUACAUUCCCACUCAUAAUGAGGUAAAUUUUAUAUUAGAUUUUACAAUUAUUAUGUAGAUUUUUAAAAAUAAAAGUAUGCUAAAAAUUUAUUUAAUUGGGUGGAACCAUCCGGCAAGUCGUGCUCGAUUACCUACCUCUCUUGAAGUUGUACGGCUUCUAUUAGACCAACAGUCGGAAGCACAUGUACGUAUUAAAUAAAAUUGAUAUUUUCAUCAUUCGCUAGUCGAUUGGUAUUUAGUAUUUAGUAUUUAGUAUUUAGUAUUAUGUAUAUAACUAAUAUUUCUAUCAUGUUCAUAUAGUUUCACUGGACACCAUACGAGGAUCCGAUAAUUCGGGCAGUAAUUCCGGAUGAGUUCUUACAAAAUCCAAACGCUUGGCACGUGAAAGUCGCGUUGAUCAACUACGUGACCGUGGAGAUGCACCAGUCAAAUAGGUUGUUACGAUAAUUUGGAUGUAGACAACCGAUUCCCGUAGAACCUGAGGUGUUUGACGAUCACCACAAAAUUGACCUUCGACAAUUGAAUACGGACUGGCUGAGAUUCUGGUCCGAGUACAUCCGAAUGUGGGAAGACCGGUAUGCUUAUAUACCUAUUAGAGAACUGAUCAUCGUUCCGGAGUUAGCGUGCGUGCCGGAAUACAUGCCAUGGUUUAGGAUCCAUGGCAAGCCCUAUUUACUAUCGCCAGAGAAGAGGCAGCAGCAAUUACGUGUCCAAAGGGAAUGACGUAUCCCUUUAAAUCGAAGAAGGGACGACGACGCAGGCCCAUAAACUAUCCCCAGAAAUUCACCUAGCCCAUUAUCAGCUCCCAUAGAAUCACCAGGCCCAAUGAAAGCACAGACACAGUCACCCGACUCAGCAGUUCAACCGAUGAUACCCACACAACCGCCUUUUCAGAUGAUACCAGGUGCGUUUCCUAAUCCUUUUAUGUAUCCUAACCCGUAUAUGUUUCCUUUUUCGAGUCCUAUGGCAGGUUGGAGUCAAUGGCCCAGUUCAGCUCCAUUUCCUGUUAUGCUGAGUGAUUCAUCGAUGUAUAGGCCAGCGACGCACGAGGGAUCGCAAGAGGGGCCGUCGGGGAGCUCUUCCUUUUACCAAUCCUCACCACCGUAUGGAUUUCAAACACCGUCGUCGUUGGUGAUGCAAACACCUCUAGAUUAACAAUUCUAUUAAUGUGGCUCGUCGUCCCAACUCCGACAAUCAUAUACCCUACCGGAAGAACAAGAAUCCCUGCUGGAGGAACCAUAACCGCCGUCGGAAGCUGGACGAAGGAGGAAUCCAGCGCGUAACCGUCGACGGCCGCCAUGUGACACUGAAUGCAGCAGGCACAAACAUUGAUUUUUGUAAUUAAAUUUAUUUGUACAAAUAUUUUGAAUGUUUUGAUACUAUUUGAUGUAAUAAAAUAGAAAUUUUUUGAGUUAUUAAUUAAAAACCCUUAACUAAUUUAUUAUAAAUUUAUAAAUUUAUAAUUUAUAAUACAUGGCCUCCCUGUAUCUGGCCUGCAUAACUUGCUGCUCACUUUGGAAAUGGCGCCGCCAAACGAAAAUAUGUCUCUCGCACAACCGAUGUUAUUGAUAGAUGGCGCGUUCUUUUAAGAACAGAAUUUAUGCAUUCAGCCAGGUUUGAUGUCUUAUGGUCAUAUCAUAGGCCGCCGUCGUAUGCUUGUUCCCACUAUUUGAAACGUAUGUUACAAAGGUAGUCCGCCCCUUCUCCGUUAAUGGAACGUAAAAUUGCCAACAUCUCGUGAAAAUGGUCUUUAUUUAUUUCAUACCCUGCCAAUAUCAGUUCAUAGCAAAUAUUACAUACCACUUCUACCAAUAAAACUAAUUCAAAUUGACAAAUGAAAUAACACAGAUAUAGACUAAAUACCCACGUUGGUCACUUGUCGUCGUUCGCUCUUAGAUGGAUAUUGCCUGUAGUAGUUGGAAGCAAAUUGUCUUAGGUAAUAUCGAUGGUGUGUGCGCUGCCAUAAGCAUCCCUGUCGAUCAAAUGCAACUAGUAUACCGGCGCCCCGAUCUAAAAUAACAGAGAUAUCAAGUUGGGGGUACACAUGCCUCCUUAACCUAGAGAGAAAGAAAUCCCAAUCAUCAGACGACUCCCCCAGUGUUAUUGCAAAUGCAAUUGGAAGAAUUCUCCCACCGCCAUCCUGUGCCACUGCAAGCAAUAGCCGAUGAGUAUACCUACCAAACAUAAAGGUACCGUCAAUUUGUACCAAUGGCUUGCAGUAUGGAAAUGCGCCUCGGCAUUGCUUAAAGGUCCAAAACAGGCAUUUGAACACUUGGCAUCCACGUAGCAAUCGAUCGUUGUAGUAUGCAUGUUUCGUUUCAAGGUUUGUGAUGGCACCUGGGACGUAUCUCUCUAGCACUUGACACCACUGCCAUAUUUCAUUAUAUGAGGCGUCACACCCACUAUGCAUCUUCUCCAACGCCUUUUGCUUAGCUAUCCAAGCCUUGCGGUAAGAGGGCGUGUACCCCAUUUGCCUACGGAUAUUGGCAAUUAACACCGGCACUGAAGUCCUGUGAUCUACUUUUACCGUGGGUAGUAUCAAGCUAACUAACAUAGCUGAAUCCAUCUUGGGAUGAUGUUGUGAAACACCUAUAAACAGAGUACAUUAAAUAAUGCAACAUUACAUAAUAAAAGUAUUAUUCAGAUAUCGUCAAUACUGUACCUGCAACACAUAUAUUUGGACCUUUGUACUUUUUAAUCACCCACAACCCUGUCUUUUUCCUUAACGAGGCGUAGAUUUUCCAUGAACAUGUGUCGUCUUGCACCGCACACUUCGCCUCAAACUUAUCAGAUUUGGAUUUAACGACGUGGUAGUUAAUGCCGUUUUUAUGCUAUGUUGUUUCAAAGCACCAAUAAUACUAUCCUUGUUGGUAAACUGAUUACCAACUUCAAAUUCACCCGAAUCUAGCCUUGAACUUGUACGAUCACGCAACCGGUGUGGUAGAUCUGGAAACACUAACGCAUCAUCUGCAGAUAGAUCGAUAUUAUGCAUGUGGGCUGGAGGUGAGUACGCUCUGAAUCGUGGAUUUUCUUCUUCAUUUGAACUCCUUUCAGCAUCUUCAGGUUCUGUUGGAAUAGGCUUCAGUUCAGAAAAUAAGCCAACUUCUACACCAUCGGGCCAGGGCUCUCGAGGUGGAUCCACAUCGGAGUCAUCUUCUAACGCAUAAUCAUCUGCAACGUACGAGGUCCCCUCACCAGUUGACGUCGUAGGGAGUACAUCAUCCCUUCUUCUGGGCAUUUCAUAACGUCCCCAAUUAGAUGUAGAUUGUCAACCACUAGAACUUGAUGUCGUUCUCCAGUACGUAUUUCCAGCAUCAAACAUCGAGCCAUCGACGUACAUGUCCCAUCCAUUGACAGAGUGUCUUGCGGGGGAUGUGCAUUCAACACCGCUACCAAACAUGAGAUUUUCCGUGUUUUGUAACCCGCUAACCGAAUGUCGGCCAGGGGUCGUGUAUACAUCUCAAACACUGGUCGCAAGUACAUCAUUUGGCGAUGUAAAUUGUACAUAUAGCUCAAUAUAAUGUGCUCCACUAGCAAGAUGAGUCUGCACCAUUGCCUCCAAGCUACGAACACCUUUUAUGUCGAACAAGUCAUAUGUCACCAGAUCAACAAAAGAAAAGAAUCGAUACAUAAUAGACAGAACUUUCAUUGGCGUCGUUCUGAAAAUUUUAUGCCUAAUUCUUUUACGAAGUUCUGUCAAAUCUAUGUUCUGGUUAAAAACCAGUCGCACCGUAUUCUCGGACAAAAAAACAACACCAUUCUCAGUGUGGCAAACUACAUCAUCAUAAUAAAUAACAGCACUAAUACGUUCACUCAUAUUUGAAACUCUAACCUUUUUAGCCUCUCUAAAUUGUUUCUGCUGUGACUUAUGCAUUCUGAGAACAUUUUCUGCCUCAUUUAUAGCCUCAGCCCAAACAUGCUACUGUAGCAAAAUCGCGUCCACGAGGGCGCGAUUUCACAAAUUCUUAUAAAAUAGCAUCCUGCUAGAAGCGAUUUUAUACUUUUUGCUCAGAAACAUCAACUCAAAAUUAUUUCUUCCAGGACCUACUGUAGCAAAAGCGCGUCCACGAGGGCGCGAUUUCAUAAAUUCUUCUCAUAAAGCAUCCUACUUCAAGCGUUUUUCAUACUAUUUGCUUAGAAACGUCAACUCGAAAUUAUUUCUUCCAGGACCUAUUGUAGCAAAAGUGCAUCCACGAGGGCGCGAUUUCACAAAUUCUUACCAAAUAGCGAUUUUAUACUAUUUGCUCAGAAACGUCAACUCGAAAUUAUUUUUUCAGGACCUACUGUAGUAAAAGCGCGUACACGUGGGCGCGACUUAUUUGUUUACUUUUUCUCCAAAACCUUAAACCCUAAACCUUAAAAGCCUAACGUGAGAAAAAAGGCAAAUCGCGGCCACGUCAGCGUGCUUUGCUGAUGUGGCAACAACUCGCGCCCUCGAGGACACAAUUUGUUGCCAUGUCAGCAAAGCGCGCUGACGUGGCCGCAAUUUGCUGGCACAUCCCCUGACAUCGCGCUAACGUGGACGCGAUUUCGGGAAAAAGGGUCUAUUCCAGUAAAUAAUAAAAUAUCGGGCCCAUUUCUGUAAUUUAAAAAAAUGGCUUUUUUUGGUAAAUUGUCCGGUAUUUAGUACCUUGAAAAAAAUGAAAAAAUAGAAUUAACAGAAACAAUAGAUAUAGAGAAGGAUCUAGAAAACCUUAAGCCAGCUAGUCAUAAACAUUUUAGCCCACAUAUUCUAUAUGAAAAGGGAAGAUUUUGGAAAUAAACCCAACUUAUACAAAAAAAAAAAAUUGGCAAAAACCCCUAUAAAAUGCGGAGAUAAUGAUACAGUCAUAGUACCAUUAGUAAGAACAGAAUCUUGUAAAAUGCAUCAAGAAAAUAGAAUGAACUAUACUCAUUUAGGAUUAAAAGUGGUUGGAAUUAAAAGAAUGACGAGACUAGACUUAGGAGCCCAUGUAAUAAUGACCAUAUUUGAUGCCUAUGGAAACAAAUAUACCCAAUACACACCAUUAAUUGUUUUGAAAAUUUUCCAUGUCAAUUAAUUGUUUUGGAAUUCUUCCUAGAAAUUAUUUUAUCUCAUUUUCUACCAAGUUAUUGGAUUCUUUAGAUUUUGUUCCUAAAGAUUCUUUUUCUAUUAUUUCUUCCUGCCUUAUUCUGAAUAUUUCUAUAACGUUGUCCGAUCUUUUUCUUAAUACUGCUCAUUUUAUGUAUUAUGUUCUUUCUUGUCCUAUGAGGGUUAUAAAAUACUCUUAAUCUUUUUUCACAUUCUUCAUAAGCUUUAAAGAAAUCUUUAUGGUUAUAGAAUUUUGCGCAUCUUCUUAUCUUUUCUUCAUCUCGUUCAUCAUCUACCAAAUCUAUUUCUACUAGAUCGUUGUAUAUUUCAAAUCUAGGUAUUAUUGGCAUAGGACCUGGUAAUCCUGCAGUCUAAGCUACUCGAUCAAUAUUUCUUUUAACAUUUUCUAUACAAUUAUUUAUGGUUUGUAUUUGAGCGUUUGUAGUUAAUGAGAAGACUUCUAAUCUUAGCCUUAGAGCAAAUCUCCAAAUUGGGUUACCACAAGGAUUAUUACAUGGUUUAAUUGAGGGACUUGGACUUUAUCUUAUCUAGAAACAACGUUAUUGUUGACACCAUUUUUUUGAUAAAACGGGGUCGACUUGGAUUUUGGAAAUGAAAACGAAAAUGAGACUCGCCACUAAUUUUUUUUGAUAAUGUGUGAUCGGGUCACCUCGUAAAACGGUUGUUUUUAAUAAACGGUUUAGAUUUAUUAAAACAAUGCUUUUGGUCUGCGAAAUUCAGAAAAAUAGGUUCGGGAGUCGAUUACGCAUGAGAAAGGAUUAGCACCCUCGUAACGCCCAAAAUUGGUACAUAGUUGAUUAAUUAGUGUCUUAGUAUCGAAAAUGUGCAAAGAUUUUAAAAUACGAUCCUUGUAUUAAAAAAACUUGUAUAAAUCAAAUUAGCCGUUAAGACCCUCUCAUUUCUGGGAGAGAAAAUGUCAUACCCAAUGAGUUAGGGCAUGAUAUUUCACCUCUUCAAAAAUGAGAUUAUCCAAAAAAUCGUAUAGUAAAAUUUAAAAGGAUAUUCAAUUGUUUAAGUCAAAUAAAAAAUUGCGGCCCAAUACGUUAGUGCACAAUUUCUCAAAAUUCUAAACAUUGAAUGUUGCCUUUAUUUAUUUUUUAGAAAAGUCCUCGUCUCGAGAAAACAACGUGCCAUAUCCAAUGCGUUAGGACACAACUUAUUGAAUUCCCAAUAAUGAGCUUUUAUUUAUGUUUUUUUAUUAAAGAGCAUUCUCAAUUAUUUAGAUUCAACGAAAAAAUUGGAACCCAAUACGUUAGGGCUCAAUCCUCUCAAAGAUCUCAAAUACUGAGUAUUGCUUUUAUUUUCAAAAUUUUCCUUUUUACGAAUCUGGCUAAAAAUGGAUGUAAUGAAAUAACAAUGAUGAUAAUGUAAGAAAAAUAAUACGAGCAAAAACAAAAAGAUAAAUAAAAGAAGACAAAUAUAUACGUAAGUAUAAUCAAUCACAUAUACACGAUAACAAGUAAUAAACAAAUAAAAAAACUAAAGCAUAAAAAUAAUAAUUUUGGAAAUGUAAAUAAAUAAAUAAACGAAGAAAAUGAACAAAAUUAUAAAAAUAUAAAAGAUAUAUAUGUGAGUACACAUCAAAGUUUGAAAAUAAUAAUAAUAAAUAUAUAAACAAGUAAAUGAUGAUAAUUUAUAUAUAUAUUUAAAAAUAUGUCAAAAGUAUGUAGGUAUAUUUAUAUUUAUAAAAAUAAAAUAAAAACGUGUAUAGGUAUAUAUAUAUAGGUGCAUAUAUACAUUGUAAAAUAUAUUGAAAAUAUAUGUAUAUAUGAAUUAUAAAUAUUGAAAAUAUAUAGAUUUUAAAAUAUAUAGAAUAUGUAUAUAUAUGUAUGUAGAUAUUUUUGAAAUUAUGAAAUAUAGAAAAUAUACAUAAGUACAUACAUACAUAUAUAUAUAUAAUAUGUAUGGAUAUACGUAUAUAUUUUUUGAAAUUAUGAAAUAGAAGUGUGUAUAAAUAUGUAUAUGUACAUAUGGAUAUAAGUGUAUGUAUGUAUGAAAAAUGAAAUAUAAAAAUAUAUUUAUAAUAACUUUAAAAAUGUACAUAUAUUUAUAUUAGCGAAAUAUAUGUGUAUAUAUUGUAGAAAUAUAUAUAUAAUGUAUAUAACAAAAUUAAGAUUAAAAAGGUAGAAAUGAGUAAAUAAUAACAAUAAUAAUAAUUAAUAAUAAUAAUAGUAUUAGAUUAAUUAAUUUAAAAAAAACAACCAAAAUAACAAAGAAAAGGACUAAAGCGAAUAAAAAAUUAAAAUUUGGGGUUGAAUCACAAAUAAAAUCAAAGGGGAGUGACUACGCUGAACGCGCGAAUAACAUAGAGGGACUGGAAGGGCAAUUUUCCCUUCUCCUCCAAAACGGCGUCGUUCAAAUAGGACUAAAUUGAAAUCCAGAAUAAACUCAAGGGGGAAUUUUAAAAAUAUAAAAAAAAUUGAACGAGAAAACAUUAAAAAGUGGAGGGGCUAGAAGUGCAAUUUGCCCCUCCGUAAGAACACACGCAGAUUCUGUAUCGGGUCAGGUCGGUUCUAGUCGGCUAACCUUAAACGGCGUCGUUUUGGGUGUUCUAGGGCUAGGCCAAAACGACGUCGUUUUGUACCCCUAUAAAUUUCAAAAAUUUUCAACAAAAUUUCAUUUUCCCUUUUUUCAUAAAAAAAAAACUUCAAACAUUCUCUCAACUCCCCCUUUUUCCCCAGAAACCGGCCAAGUUUCGGCUAAGGAAUCGGUCAUCGGCCGCCGCACAGGCCACCGUUCGCCACCGCGCCGGCCGCCGUAUACGGUGGUCGAAAAGUUCAAAGGUCAUAUUUUUUUUGUAUAUAUAUUUGUAUACUCUUUUCUUAAAAUAAAACAAAUGUUAUUUUAUAUAAAUAUUUCGAAAGAUGAAAUUAAAGGAAAACUCAAAAAAAUAAAAGUAAAUAAAUGGAAAAAGAAAGAGAACUCAAGAGCAAAACAAAAAAAUCACCCCUGAAGAAAGUUUUGUUUCUUUUUAUUUUUGUUGAAUCUAUUUUUCUCUAAAAAAAGGGGUCAAACCCCAUUUACAAUUUUUGUUAUGGCUUUAUAGCCAUUCUUACAACAUUUUUUAAUUUAUUUUUUGGUCCAAUGAUUUCUCUGCAGGCAAGUGGCAGAGCAGGUGCGGCAGUAACAGAGUUGGUGGCGAUGGCAGAGGACCGAGGGUCUGAAGACCCUAGAUGUGGCGCUUAGGGUUUCAGUUUCUGAAACCCUAGUCUAACUUGGAGUUGGGAUUGGGCCUCGAUUUGGGUUAGGCUAGUUGGGCCUCGUUUUGGGCUCUGGGUUUGGGUUUAAUCGGGUUUUGGGUUAGGUUUUGGGCCAGGGUGUAAUUUGGGGCAUUGGGCUAAGUCUUUUGGUUGGAUUUGAUUUGGGCUAGGGUUAGGUGGGUUUGUUGGGCCCAGGUAAAUUUGGGCUGUACAGUUAUUAUCUUGCACACCUGAGAGUCCCUUUUCACUUACUUGUCUUUCUACUAAUUCUCAUGUACUGUUAUACAGAACUAUCUAUUUGUUACUGUUAAAACUCAUCUAAUGCCCU
rnacentral:lncRNA from 1 species